rnacentral:rRNA from 1 species
GUCAUAUAUCAUAACAAAACAAAACUUUCAACAACGGAUCUCUUGGCUCUCGCAUCGAUGAAGAACGCAGCGAAAUGCGAUAAGUAAUGUGAAUUGCAGAAUUCAGUGAAUCAUCGAAUCUUUGAACGCACCUUGCGCCCUCUGGUAUUCCGGAGGGCAUGCCUGUUUGAGUGUCAUGUAGACUCAAUCCCUCGGGUUUCCGAGGAGAUUGGACUUGGGUGUUGCCGCUCUGCCGGCUCGCCUUAAAAGACUUAGCGGGAUAGCACCGUAGUCGGCGUAAUAAGUUUCGUCGGUGAAGGUUGUGAUGACUGCUUACAAUCGCCCUCGGGCAAUUUUUGACUCUGACCUCAAAUCAGGUAGGACUACCCGCUGAACUUAAGCAUAUCAAUAAGCGGAGGA